CCUACGGGAGGCAGCAGUGGGGAAUAUUGGACAAUGGGGGGAACCCUGAUCCAGCGACGCCGCGUGAGUGAAGAAGUAUCUCGGUAUGUAAAGCUCUAUCAGCAGGGAAGAAAGAAAUGACGGUACCUGACUAAGCAGCCCCGGCUAACUACGUGCCAGCAGCCGCGGUAAUACGUAGGGGGCAAGCGUUAUCCGGAUUUACUGGGUGUAAAGGGAGCGUAGACGGCUGAGCAAGGCUGAAGUGAAAGGGGGGGGCCCAACCCGCGGACUGCUUUGGAAACUGUAUAGCUAGAGUGCAGGAGAGGUAGGUGGAAUGCCUAGUGUAGCGGUGAAAUGCGUAGAUAUUAGGAGGAACACCAGUGGCGAAGGCGGCUUACUGGACUGUAACUGACGUUGAGGCUCGAAAGCGUGGGGAGCAAACAGGAUUAGAUACCCGGGUAGUC
rnacentral:rRNA from 1 species